rnacentral:rRNA from 1 species
AGUGAACGCUGGCGGUAGGCCUAACACAUGCAAGUCGAACGGCAGCACAGGAGAGCUUGCUCUCUGGGUGGCGAGUGGCGGACGGGUGAGGAAUACAUCGGAAUCUACUUUUUCGUGGGGGAUAACGUAGGGAAACUUACGCUAAUACCGCAUACGACCUACGGGUGAAAGCAGGGGAUCUUCGGACCUUGCGCGAUUGAAUGAGCCGAUGUCGGAUUAGCUAGUUGGCGGGGUAAAGGCCCACCAAGGCGACGAUCCGUAGCUGGUCUGCGAGGAUGAUCAGCCACACUGGAACUGAGACACGGUCCAGACUCCUACGGGAGGCAGCAGUGGGGAAUAUUGGACAAUGGGCGCAAGCCUGAUCCAGCCAUACCGCGUGGGUGAAGAGGGCCUUCGGGUUGUAAAGCCCUUUUGUUGGGAAAGAAAUCCAGCUGGUUAAUACCCGGUUGGGAUGACGGUACCCAAAGAAUAAGCACCGGCUAACUUCGUGCCAGCCGCCGCGGUAA